GACGAACGCUGGCGGCGUGCCUAACACAUGCAAGUCGAACGCCCCGCAAGGGGAGUGGCAGACGGGUGAGUAACGCGUGGGAACAUACCCUUUUCUACGGAAUAGCUCUGGGAAACUGGAAUUAAUACCGUAUACGCCCUACGGGGGAAAGAUUUAUCGGGGAAGGAUUGGCCCGCGUUGGAUUAGCUAGUUGGUGGGGUAAAGGCCUACCAAGGCGACGAUCCAUAGCUGGUCUGAGAGGAUGAUCAGCCAAAUUGGGACUGAGACACGGCCCAAACUCCUACGGGAGGCAGCAGUGGGGAAUAUUGGACAAUGGGCGCAAGCCUGAUCCAGCCAUGCCGCGUGAGUGAUGAAGGCCUUAGGGUUGUAAAGCUCUUUCACCGAUGAAGAUAAUGACGGUAGUCGGAGAAGAAGCCCCGGCUAACUUCGUGCCAGCCGCCGCAGUAA
rnacentral:rRNA from 1 species